AUGGUCACCGUCUCCUCAGAGAGUCAGUCCUCCCCAACUGUCUUCCCCCUGGUCUCCUGCGAGAGCCCCCUGUCUGAUGAGAAUUUGGUGGCCAUGGGCUGCCUGGCUCGGGACUUCCUGCCCAGCUCCAUUUCCUUCUCCUGGAACUACCAGAACAACUCUGCAAUCAGUCAGGGUGUCAGAACCUUCCCAACACUGAGGAUGGGAGAGAAGUAUAUAGCCACCUCGCAGGUGUUCCUGCCUCCCAAGAAUGUCCUUGAGGGUUCAGACGAAUACCUGGUGUGCAGAGUGCACCAUGGUAACAACAACAGAAAUCUGCAGGUGCCCAUUCCAGCUGUCACAGAGAUGCCCCCCACCGUGAGUGUGUUCAUCCCCUCACGCGACGCCUUCUCUGGCCCUGCACCACGCAAGUCCAGACUCUUCUGCGAGGCGUCCAACUUUAGUCCCAAACAAAUCACAGUGUCCUGGCUGCGUGACGGGAAGCCUUUGAAGACUGGCUUCACCACAGGGCCAGUGACUCCUGAAGACAAAGGAUCUGGAUCCCGAACCUACAAGGUCAUAAGCACACUCACUAUCUCUGAAAGCGAUUGGUUGAACCUGAGCGUGUACACCUGCCGCGUGGAUCACAGAGGUCUUUCCUUCUGGAAGAAUGUGUCCUCCACAUGCGCUGCCAGUCCAUCUACCGACAUCCAAGCCUUCCCCAUUCCCCCCUCCUUUGUUGACAUCUUCCUGAACAAGUCUGCCAAGCUGACCUGCCUGGUCACAAACCUGGCAACCUAUGACACCCUGAAUAUCUCCUGGGCUUCCCAAAGUGGUGAGCCACUGGAAACCAACACUAAACUCAGCGAGAGCCACUCCAAUGGCACCUUCAGUGCCAUAGGACAGGCUAAUGUGUGUGUGGCAGACUGGGAGAGCGGGAAGGAGUUUGUGUGCACCGUGGCCCACAGGGACCUGCCUUCGCCACAGAAGAAAAUCAUCUCAAAGCCCAGAGAGGUGGUCAAGCAACCCCCUGCUGUGUACCUGCUGCCGCCAGCCCGUGAACAACUGAUCCUGAGAGAGGCAGCCACGGUCACCUGCCUGGUGAAGGGCUUCUCUCCUGCAGACAUCUUUGUGCAGUGGCUUCAGAGGGGGCAACCUUUGUCCCCAGACAAGUAUGUGACCAGUGCUCCAAUGCCAGAGCCCCAGGUCCCAGGUCUCUACUUUGCCCACAGUGUCCUGACUGUGACAGAGGAGGAAUGGAACUCCGGGGAGACCUACACCUGUGUUGUAGGCCACGAAGCCCUGCCACACAUGGUGACCGAGAGGACCGUGGACAAGUCCACUGGUAAACCCACACUGUACAAUGUAUCACUGAUCAUGUCUGACGCAGGUGGCACCUGUUACUGA